AUGGAUAAAUCCAGAAAGAAACAAGAAGAAAAUGAAUUUGAGGCGGCCAUGCUUGCAUUUGCUCUGGAUGUGGCGUCGUCAAGUGUGACACUGCCGUACGCACCAAGAAAAUUACAUCUUGUUACAGGCCUCCAGUGGGUAGAAGAGAAGGAGAAAGAUGCAGAAUCUUUCUAUGCUAUGUUCAGAAUGAGGAGGUCAGUGUUUCGUACAUUGCAUGAUCUGUUAGUUCAGAAGUAUGGGCUUGAGUCAACUUCCAACAUUUCAUCCAAAGAAGCAUUGGCACAAUUUCUAUGGACUGUGGGUACAUGUCAGACAACUGAUAAUGCCGCACAUCGGUUUGCACAUAGUCGUUCUGUCAUUAAUAAAAAAAUUCACGAGGUUUUGGAGUGUGUAGACCGCAUGGCCGGUGAUUACAUAAGACCAAUUGAUUCAACUUUCUCUGAACCACACCCGAUACUUAGAAAAACAAAGUUUUGGCCUCACUUUCAACAUGCUAUUGGAGCCAUUGAUGGAACACACAUUAAGGUGAUUGUGCCAAAGGAGUUGGAGCCCCAACACAGGAAUAGAAAAGGUUAUACAGGUGAAAAUGUAUGGAGCGAUGCCAUAGUUCGUUAUGAUCACUUUCCACAACCCCCCAUAGGUAACAUCUCGCAUGUAUCCAUAUUGUUAUAUACAGGAUGGUAUGUUGUAAAUUUCUAA
rnacentral:rRNA from 1 species